UAUGUACAUGUGACCACCCUACAUAUAGUUUGGGUCACAUAUUAAAUUAUUUAUAUAUAUUUCCUUUUUAUUUUUACAUAUGUUCAUUUCUAUUUACAUGUAUAUAUAAGUUUUAUUUUAAUUACUUAAAAUAUAUGAUGAGUUUGCACUGAAUAGUUCAGCUGCAUUUUCUGAACUCUGGGUGGCAGUUGAGAGAGUAGAGUUACCAUGACGACUGCAGCGCAUCCUCAGACAACAAAGAGGACCGUUAAGGAAACAACUAACUCUUGUCUCUCUCUCUCAUUUAAUGUCAAGUGAUUUUGAACCUAGGGACAGCAAAGCACAUUCUUCAGGAAGGGAGCAACGUGUGUGUGAGAGGAUAAGGGGAGCAGGUGACCAGCAUCAUCCUGACCAGGCGCAUCACCACAUAACCAGAUCUACCUGGAAGUGCAUCAUGUCCGACGAAGAAAGAAAGAGACUUGUCUGGAACAUCAAGAAGAAAGUCUACACUUUGAACACAGGUGAACUCUUCCAGCUGGCAAAAGACAUUAACUCAGCAUCAGAUGCAGAUGUUACACAAUUAAAGAAUGGUGAUGAAGAGAGCUACAUUAAUUAUAUUGUCACUUACAUGAACAGCUGUGAAUUGUCUAGGCUACCUGAUCAAGGGAUGACUGUGUUGUUGAAUU
ensembl:lncRNA